CACAUGCAAGUCGAGGGGCAGCAUGAUUGAAGCUUGCUUCAAUUGAUGGCGACCGGCGCACGGGUGAGUAACGCGUAUCCAACCUUCCGUACACUCAGGGAUAGCCUUUCGAAAGAAAGAUUAAUACCUGAUGGUAUGAUGAGAUUGCAUGAUAGCAUCAUUAAAGAUUUAUCGGUGUACGAUGGGGAUGCGUUCCAUUAGGUAGUAGGCGGGGUAACGGCCCACCUAGCCUACGAUGGAUAGGGGUUCUGAGAGGAAGGUCCCCCACAUUGGAACUGAGACACGGUCCAAACUCCUACGGGAGGCAGCAGUGAGGAAUAUUGGUCAAUGGACGAGAGUCUGAACCAGCCAAGUAGCGUGAAGGAUGAAGGUCUUACGGAUUGUAAACUUCUUUUAUAAGGGAAUAAAACCUCCCACGUGUGGGAGCUUGUAUGUACCUUAUGAAUAAGCAUCGGCUAACUCCGUGCCAGCAGCCGCGGUAAUACGGAGGAUGCGAGCGUUAUCCGGAUUUAUUGGGUUUAAAGGGAGCGCAGACGGGUCGUUAAGUCAGCUGUGAAAGUUUGGGGCUCAACCUUAAAAUUGCAGUUGAUACUGGCGUCCUUGAGUGCGGUUGAGGUGUGCGGAAUUCGUGGUGUAGCGGUGAAAUGCUUAGAUAUCACGAAGAACUCCGAUUGCGAAGGCAGCACACUAAGCCGUAACUGACGUUCAUGCUCGAAAGUGUGGGUAUCAAACAGGAUUAGAUACCCUGGUAGUCCACACGGUAAACGAUGGAUACUCGCUGUUGGCGAUAUACGGUCAGCGGCUUAGCGAAAGCGUUAGGUAUCCCACCUGGGGAGUACGCCGGCAACGGUGAAACUCAAAGGAAUUGACGGGGGCCCGCACAAGCGGAGGAACAUGUGGUU
rnacentral:rRNA from 1 species